GAUGAACGCUGGCGGCGUGCUUAACACAUGCAAGUCGAGCGAGAAAAGUUCUUCGGAGCUUUUCUAGCGGCGGACGGUGAGUAACACGUGGGCAACCUGCCUCAUAGAGGGGAAUAGCCUUCCGAAGGAAGAUUAAUACCGCAUAAUAUUGUUGAAAGGCAUCUUUUAACAAUCAAGGAGCAAUCCGCUAUGAGAUAGGCCCGCGGCGCAUUAGCUAGUUGGUGAGGUAACGGCUCACCAAGGCGACGAUGCGUAGCCGACCUGAGAGGGUGAUCGGCCACAUUGGAACUGAGACACGGUCCAGACUCCUACGGGAGGCAGCAGUGGGGAAUAUUGCACAAUGGGGGAAACCCUGAUGCAGCAACG
rnacentral:rRNA from 1 species